CCUACGGGCGGCAGCAGUGGGGAAUAUUGCACAAUGGGCGAAAGCCUGAUGCAGCAACGCCGCGUGAGCGAUGAAGGCCUUCGGGUCGUAAAGCUCUGUCCUCAGGGAAGAUAAUGACGGUACUUGAGGAGGACGCCCCGGCUAACUACGUGCCAGCAGCCGCGGUAAUACGUAGGGGGCUAGCGUUAUCCGGAGUUACUGGGCGAAAGGGGUGCGUAGGUGGUUUCUUAAGUCAGAGGUAAAAGGCUACGGCUCAACCGCAGUAAGCCUUUGAAACUGGGGAACUGGAGUGCGGGAGAGGAGAGUGGAAUUCCUAGUGUAGCGGUGAAAUGCGUAGAUAUUAGGAGGAACACCAGUGGCGAAGGCGGCUUUCUGGACUGUAACUGACACUGAGGCACGAAAGCGUGGGGAGCAAACAGGAUUAGAUACCCGUGUAGUC
rnacentral:rRNA from 1 species